AGAGUUUGAUCCUGGCUCAGAACGAACGCUGGCGGCGCGCCUAAUACAUGCAAGUCGAGCGAGAAGGUGUAGCAAUACACUUGUAAAGCGGCGAACGGGUGAGGAAUACAUGGGUAAUCUACCAUCGAGUGGGAAUAACCAACCGAAAGGUUGGCUAAUACCGCGUACGCCUCCGAAUCUUCGGGUUCGGAGGGAAAGCUGCACUGUGAGUGUAGCGCUCUUUGAUGAGCUCAUGUCCUAUCAGCUUGUUGGUAGGGUAACGGCCUACCAAGGCUUUGACGGGUAGCUGGUCUGAGAGGACGAUCAGCCACACUGGCACUGCGACACGGGCCAGACUCCUACGGGAGGCAGCAGUAAGGAAUAUUGCGCAAUGGGCGAAAGCCUGACGCAGCGACGCCGCGUGGGGGAUGAAGGUCUUCGGAUUGUAAACCCCUUUCGGGAGGGAAGAUGGAGCGAGCAAUCGUUCGGACGGUACCUCCAGAAGCAGCCACGGCCAACUUCGUGCCAGCAGCCGCGGUAAUACGAAGGUGGCAAGCGUUGUUCGGAUUCACUGGGCGUACAGGGUGUGUAGGCGGUUUGGUAAGCCUUCUGUUAAAGCUUCGGGCCCAACCCGGAAAGCGCAGAGGGUACUGCCAGGCUAGAGGGUGGGAGAGGAGCGCGGAAUUCCCGGUGUAGCGGUGAAAUGCGUAGAGAUCGGGAGGAAGGCC
rnacentral:rRNA from 1 species